rnacentral:rRNA from 1 species
CAGUCGCCGCGGUAAAACGGAGGGAGCUAGCGUUAUUCGGAAUUACUGGGCGUAAAGCGCACGUAGGCGGCUUUGUAAGUUAGAGGUGAAAGCCUGGAGCUCAACUCCAGAAUUGCCUUUAAGACUGCAUCGCUUGAAUCCAGGAGAGGUGAGUGGAAUUCCGAGUGUAGAGGUGAAAUUCGUAGAUAUUCGGAAGAACACCAGUGGCGAAGGCGGCUCACUGGACUGGUAUUGACGCUGAGGUGCGAAAGCGUGGGGAGCAAACAGGAUUAGAUACCCCGGUAGUCCCUGUCUCUUAUAC